CCUUCGAUAGCUCAGUUGGCAGAGCGCGAGGCUGUGAGAUCCGCGUUAUUCCAAGUUAAAAUCUCGCUAACGGAUGCAGGUAACUGAUGAUAAACCUUGAGGUCGCUGGUUCGACCCCGGCUCGAAGGA
rnacentral:tRNA from 1 species